GCUCCGGUAGCCUAGUGGUAGAAGCGUCCGCCUCGGAUGCAGGAGGUCGUGGGAUCGAACCCCGGCCGAGUCA